rnacentral:rRNA from 1 species
UACGUAGGGGGCAAGCGUUGUCCGGAAUCAUUGGGCGUAAAGCGCGUGUAGGCGGCUUGGUAAGUCUGCUCUGAAAGCCCGGGGCUCAACCCUGGGAGGCGGGUGGAUACUGCUGAGCUCGAGUCCGGAAGAGGCGAGUGGAAUUCCUGGUGUAGUGGUGGAAUGCGUAGAUAUCGGGAGGAACACCAGUGGCGAAGGCGGCUUCCUGGACCGGUUCUGACACUGAGGAGCGAAAGCGUGGGGAGCGAUCCGG